CACGUAGGGGGCAAGCGUUGUCCGGAAUUAUUGGGCGUAAAGAGCUCGUAGGCGGCUCGGUAAGUCAGGUGUGAAAUUCCAGGGCUCAACCCUGGAACGCCACCUGAUACUGCUGUGGCUAGAGUCCGGUAGGGGAGCGUGGAAUUCCUAGUGUAGCGGUGAAAUGCGCAGAUAUUAGGAGGAACACCAGCGGCGAAGGCGGCGCUCUGGGCCGGAACUGACGCUGAGGAGCGAAAGCGUGGGGAGCAAACAGG
rnacentral:ncRNA from 2 species